rnacentral:rRNA from 1 species
GAGCCUUGAUGUGUAGGAUAGGUGGGAGGCUUAGAAGUGUGGACGCCAGUCUGCAUGGAGCCGACCUUGAAAUACCACCCUUUAAUGUUUGAUGUUCUAACGUUGACCCGUAAUCCGGGUUGCGGACAGUGUCUGGUGGGUAGUUUGACUGGGGCGGUCUCCUCCUAAAGAGUAACGGAGGAGCACGAAGGUUGGCUAAUCCUGGUCGGACAUCA